AGUGAACGCUGGCGGUAGGCCUAACACAUGCAAGUCGAACGGCAGCACAGUAAGAGCUUGCUCUUACGGGUGGCGAGUGGCGGACGGGUGAGGAAUACAUCGGAAUCUACUUUUUCGUGGGGGAUAACGUAGGGAAACUUACGCUAAUACCGCAUACGACCUACGGGUGAAAGCAGGGGAUCUUCGGACCUUGCGCGAUUGAAUGAGCCGAUGUGGGAUUAGCUAGUUGGCGGGGUAAAGGCCCACCAAGGCGACGAUCCGUAGCUGGUCUGAGAGGAUGAUCGGCCACACUGGAACGGAGACACGGACCAGGCUCCUACGGGAGGCAGCAGUGGGGAAUAUUGGACAGUGGGCGCAAGCCUGAUCCAGCCAUACCGCGUGGGAGGAGAAGGCCUUCGGGUUGUAAAGCCCUUUUGUUGGGAAAGAAAAGCAGCAGGUUAAUACCCCGCUGUUCUGACGGUACCCAAAGAAUAAGCACCGGCUAACUUCGUG
rnacentral:rRNA from 1 species